UACGUAGGGUGCGAGCGUUGUCCGGAAUUACUGGGCGUAAAGAGCUUGUAGGUGGUUUGUCGCGUUGUUCGUGAAAUCUCACGGCUUAACUGUGAGCGUGCGGGCGAUACGGGCAGACUAGAGUACUGCAGGGGAGACUGGAAUUCCUGGUGUAGCGGUGGAAUGCGCAGAUAUCAGGAGGAACACCAACAGCGAAGGCAGCACUCUGGGCCGGUACUGACGCUGAGGAGCGAAAGCAUGGGGAGCGAACAGG
rnacentral:rRNA from 1 species